rnacentral:rRNA from 1 species
GAUGAACGCUAGCGGCAGGCCUAAUACAUGCAAGUCGAACGGUGUCUUCGGACAUAGUGGCGCACGGGUGCGUAACACGUAUGCAACCUACCUUACAUUGGGGGAUAGCCUUUCGAAAGGGAGAUUAAUACCGCAUAAGACAGUAGCUGGGCAUCCAGCAGCUGUUAAAGAUUUAUCGAUGUAAGCUGGGCAUGCGUCCAAUUAGCUCGUUGGUGAGGUAACGGCUCACCAAGGCAAUGAUUGGUAGGGGAACUGAGAGGUCAAUCCCCCACACUGGCACUGAGGUACGGGCCAGACUCCUACGGGAGGCAGCAGUAGGGAAUAUUGUGCAAUGGACGCAAGCCUGACCCAGCCAUGCCGCGUGCAGGAUGAAGGCGUUAUGCGUUGUAAACUGCUUUUAUACAGGAAGAAACGACUCUUGCGAGAGGCAUUGACGGUACUGUAUGAAUAAGCACCGGCUAACUCCGUGCCAGCCGCCGCCGUAACAC